CAGCCGCCGCGGUAAUACGUAGGGGGCGAGCGUUGUCCGGAAUUAUUGGGCGUAAAGCGCGCGCAGGCGGUCCUUUAAGUCUGAUGUGAAAGCCCACGGCUCAACCGUGGAGGGUCAUUGGAAACUGGGGGACUUGAGUGCAGGAGAGGAGAGCGGAAUUCCACGUGUAGCGGUGAAAUGCGUAGAGAUGUGGAGGAACACCAGUGGCGAAGGCGGCUCUCUGGCCUGUAACUGACGCUGAGGCGCGAAAGCGUGGGGAGCAAACAGGAUUAGAUACCCUGGUAGUCGACGCCGUAAACGAUGAGUGCUAAGUGUUAGAGGGGUCACACCCUUUAGUGCUGUAGCUAACGCGAUAAGCACUCCGCCUGGGGAGUACGGCCGCAAGGCUGAAACUUAAAGGAAUUGGCGGG
rnacentral:rRNA from 1 species